CCUUACCUGGUCUUGACAUCCAAGGAACUUUCCAGAGAUGGAUUGGUGCCUUCGGGAACCGUGAGACAGGUGCUGCUGGCUGUCGUCAGCUCGUGUCGUGAGAUGUUGGGUUAAGUCCCGCAACGAGCGCAACCCUUGUCCUUAGUUGCCAGCACGUAAUGGUGGGAACUCUAAGGAGACCGCCGGUGACAAACCGGAGGAAGGUGGGGAUGACGUCAAGUCAUCAUGGCCCUUACGACCAGGGCUACACACGUACUACAAUGGUGGGGACAGAGGGCUGCAAGCCGGCGACGGUAAGCCAAUCCCAGAAACCCCAUCUCAGUCCGGAUUGGAGUCUGCAACUCGACUCCAUGAAGUCGGAAUCGCUAGUAAUCGCAGAUCAGCAUUGCUGCGGUGAAUACGUUCCCGGGCCUUGUACACACCGCCCGUCACACCAUGGGAGUUUGUUGCACCAGAAGCAGGUAGCUUAACCUUCGGGAGGGCGCUUGCCACGGUGUGGCCGAUGACUGGGGUGAAGUCGUAACAAGGUAGCCGUAUCGGAAGGUGCGGCUGGAUCACCUCCUAGAGGCUAAUACCCGAUUGUGCUGACGGUACCCAAAGAAUAAGCACCGGCUAACUUCGUGCCAGCAGCCGCGGUAAUACGAAGGGUGCAAGCGUUACUCGGAAUUACUGGGCGUAAAGCGUGCGUAGGUGGUUGUUUAAGUCCGUUGUGAAACCCCUGGGCUCAACCUGGGAAUUGCAGUGGAUACUGGGCAACUAGAGUGUGGUAGAGGAUGGCGGAAUUCCCGGUGUAGCAGUAUAAAUGCCUAGAGAUCGGGAGGAACAUCUGUGGCGAAGGCUCGCCUUCUGGGACCAACACUGACAGUGAUGCACGAAAGCGUGGGGGAGCAAACAGUGAUUAGACUACCCUGGUCGUACCACGCCCCUAAACGAUGCGUACUGGAUGUAUGUGUGCACACUUGUCACGCCAAUAUCAAAGCUAACCCCCUUUAAAUUUCGCCCGCCUGGGGGAAGUACGGGUCGCAAAGAUUGAAACUUCAAAGGGAAUUUGACCGGGGGCCUCGACACCAAGGCGGUAGUGAGUUAUGGUGGCUUUUAAAUUUGGAAUGCCAUCGCCGAAGGAACUUACUUACCCUGGGUGGUCUUUGACACCAUCAUAGUGGGGAACUUUUUUCCUCAGUACCAUGGGGAAAUUAUGCGUCGCCCCUUUUCCUGGCGCGACACCCGCAUGAAAUAAAACCAGGGGAUGGGCCUUGCCCGUGUGAGUGUGUGCCUUGGAUUCACAAAUCCCCUAUCGCAUAUGAAACGACCCCUGCAGGAGAAUUGGUGUUUCUGUGAGCAGUAACCGUCUACUCACGGAGU
rnacentral:rRNA from 1 species